rnacentral:rRNA from 1 species
GACAGAGGGGGCAAGCGUUGCUCGGAAUUACUGGGCGUAAAGGGCGCGUAGGCGGGAUGGCAAGUCGGUCGUGAAAUGCCGGGGCUCAACCCCGGGACUGCGUCCGAUACUUCCGAGCUGGAGGCAGGUAGGGGAGAUCGGAAUUCCUGGUGUAGCGGUGAAAUGCGCAGAUAUCAGGAGGAACACCGGUGGCGAAGGCGGAUCUCUGGGCCUUGCCUGACGCUGAGGCGCGAAAGCUAGGGGAGCGAACAGG